UGUAAAAUAUUGGCGUACCAGACUGAUAAUAAAACUCUCUUUAUUACACACAAAAUAACUCUCAUUCACAUACACCCAAAAGACUACAAACCUCACACACUACUUCACUACUAACACUACACCUCACAACACUUCCUCACCUCACACCACCACUCACACCCUUACUUCACUAUAUCUCACUCUUUACUCUCACUCUUACACACUCCCACCCUUUCACACCACCUCACACUCACUCACACUUGGUGUGGAGGCCUCACACCUAUUUAUAGGCCUCCAACCUACCUACAUAAGCACUCUAGAAUAUUCUAGAGUACUUGCUUCUAGAACUCGCUAAAGUGCUCUAUUAGCAAGUAGAGAGCACUUUGUUCCUACAGUUUUCUAGAAUGCUCCAUUAGCUAGUAGAGAAUUGGAAAGGGAUAGAGCAUUCUAGAAUGUUCUAUUAAAGAGAGAGGGAGAGUUGCCUCUUUCAAUACUCCCCCUCAACUCUAACUCUCUCUUAAUGUUGCUCUGCUGAGCAUUCCUAAUUGCUUCGGAACUCUUCUUUGCGGUGCUUAGUCCUUUGGUGAAUAUGUUGGCUAUUUGCUCUUCUAUUUUGAUUCUGCUUCAGCACCUGGAUCUCUCCGUCCAUCGUGUUCCUCCACUCCUUGCUUGUAACUUCUUCUUCGUAGGAGGUCGGCUUUUUUGGAGUCUCUUCUUCUUCGGCGAGAGCAGCAUUUGCAUACUCAGGAUUAGGUUUUCUUUGCCUAGAAGAUCUUCGUGACUGUGUACCUGUAUCUUCAAGUUGGCUCGAUCGAUCUUCUCCCGGGGUUUGAUAAUGUACGCCAAUUCGCCAGGGUUCUGGAGACUUCUGGAGUUGCUACUCGUCACCGGUUGGCUCUAUUGAAGGUUGACCGCUUUCUUCUUGCUCUGACACAGCCUUUUCUCCUUCUUGUUCUUGUUCUCCAAGCUUUUUUUGUAGCUUGAUUUCUAUCUCUUUAUUAUCUGGUAGUAUCACUUCUUGCGAGGACCACCAGGAUGAUGCUUCAUCAAACACAAUAUUUCUCGAUGUAUAGCAACGACCGGUUGUUGGGUCACAACAUCUCCACCCUUUUCUUUCACUGUCGUACCCGACGAAGAUACAUCGUAUCGCCUUCUUGUCGAAUUUACUUCGAAGAUGGUCCGGUACGAACACAUAGCACACGCAUCCAAAAACUCGAAAAUAACUUACUGUGGGUUUGAUUUUCCAUAGUACUUGAUAAGGUGAGAUGAAUCCUAACUUCGGUUGCGGCAGCCGGUUGAUGACAUGUGCUGCUGUUCUCAUACAUUCUGCCCAAAUCUGCCUGGCACAUUCUUUGCAUGCAGCAUGCUUCAGCAAGUUUCUGCUAGAUGUCUAUUCUUUCUCUCAGCUAUACCAUUUUGUUGCGGAGUGCAUGGACACGUAAGUUGUCUCCUUAUUUUGCACUCUCGCAGAUAAGCUGAGAACUCUGCUGAAGUAUAUUCACCUCCAUUAUCCGUGUGCAGGCAUCGUAUUUUAUAACCGGUUUGGCGUUCAACUUUUUCUUUAAAUUUUUUAAAUUUUUGCAGCACUUCAGAUUUUUCUUUAAUAAAGUAUACCCAGACGUACCUCGAGUAGUCAUCAAUAAACGUCAUCAUGUAGCGCAUACCGUAAUUGAUGUUUGCUUGACUGGUCCAAAAACAUCAGAGUGCAUGAGCUCCAGCGGUACCUUGGCUCUAUAUUUGGAUUCAGUGUAGGAAAGUUGAUGAGCCUUACCAAACUGGCAUCCUGCGCAGAUUGUGUCUCCUCGUACUUCAAGUUGAGGUAAACCCUUAAGCAUACUGCGCUCCAUCAUGAUUUUCAGUUUGUGAUAGCCCACAUGUCCCAGUCUUGCAUGCAACAAAUCAGCAGUCUCACUUUUUCGAGUCUUUUCUAUGUAUGAUGAUUCUGCAGACAUUACGUAUAUAGACUCUACUUUCUUUCCUUCCAUGAUUUGUAUACCAGAUAUCUUGGGACUGCGAAAGACCUUGACAUCUUGUGGCCCAAAUACUACAUAAUUGCCCGAUGCAAUCAGUUGUGAUACUGCUAAGAGGUUUUUCUUCAUACCUGGGACAUGGUAAACGUUCUGUAGUUGUACUUGAUGUGAGCUGAAUCGGGGUGUGAUGAUUGUCUUUCCUAUGUGGGUGAUAGGCAACUUCGAGUUGUUAGCUGUCACCACUACUCUUCCUUCUUUAUAUUCUGUUGUGCUGAUUAGCUUGUCUUUAUCACCGCUCAUAUGAUUGGAACAUCUAGAGUCGAUGAUCCAAUCUGUACUGUAAUUCACCUCUCUUGGAUUUUCUAUUGUUGUUAAUGCAUAUAUUGGUACCUGCUUUGGUAGCUUUUCCUUCUUAGCACCUGGCGUUGCCAUAUUGCCUUGUACUUGUUUCUUCUUAUGCCAACAGUCUCGGGCGAAGUGUCCUUUCUUGCUGCAAUUGUUACACUCUCCGCUUCGCCGUUUGUCGCCUUUAAACUGCCAGGUAUUUUGCUCCUUCUGGUUGUGGACUCCCUCUGUAAGGUGGCUCUCUCCCGACCUUUGUUUUGCCCUACUGAACUCCUUCAGCGGCUUCACAUUUCUUGGCCCUCCUGUUGCUCGACCUUUUCUUCUACUGCUGAAGAGUGCCUCCUCUUCAGUUUUCACUGAGGCUCCAGCCAUUUGUUUGGCUAGGGCCUCCUGAUUAGCGAAUAAAUUUUCUAGCUCCACCAACGUUGGUUGAGUGAGCCAUCCUCGAACAGCAGUAAUGAACCCGUUAUAUUCGGGUUUUAGGCCGUGAAUAAUAAUUCUCUUCAUCCGCUAGUCACUAAUUUUUGACUCUGGAUCUAAUUGGGAAAUUUCACGGUAGAGAGAUUUUACCUUCAUGAAGUACUAGUUAAUCGUCAUGCUACCCUGAGAUAUCGUCAUCAGCUCAUUCUCCAGAAGUUGAAGUCGAGCAUCGUUCUUCUUUGAAAAUAACGAGGCGAGGGUGUCCCAUGCAGCCUUGGGUGUAUCUGCUUCUUUGAUAUGCUCCAACAGCUCUUCUUCGAUUGUCAUCUUCAGAACGAACAUCGCCUUCCCUGCCUUGAUACGCCACUUUCUGAACACCUCUGCAUUCUCCUUUGGUGGUGGAGUUGUUUCAGCACCACCAAUUACCUCACACAAAUCCUACCCUUGUAGGUAAGACUCAAUGCAGGUUUGCCAAUAACCAUAAUUAUGGUUAUUUAGCUUCUUAAUUCCCCUAGUUGUACCAGCAAGAUUUGCCAUAGUGACUUGGUGAUUGCCCAGCAGUCAACCAAAUAAGUCUGGUCCCAGACUAACCAACUUCACAGUCCCAGACCAGACUAUGCACCAGCAGAAUCUCUGCUUAUAUCGGUAUUUAACUGCCUGGACUGGCAGAAUUUCACCGAUUUAACUAGCAGAAUAUUUCCUACAAUCUGGCUCUAAUACCAAAUUGUAGAGUAUUGGCGUACUAGACUAAUAAUAAAACUCUUUUUAUUACACACAAAAUAACUCUCAUUCACAUACACACAAAAUAACUCUCAUUCACAUACACCCAAAAGACUACAAACCUCACACACUACUUCACUACUAACACUACACCUCACAACACUUCCUCACCUCACACCACCACUCACAUCCUUACUUCACUAUAUCUCACUCUUUACUCUCACUCUUACAUACUCCCACUCUUUCACACCACCUCACACUCACUCACACUUGGUGUGGAGGCCUCACACCUAUUUAUAGGCCUCCAACCUACCUACAUAAACACUCUAGAAUAUUCUAGAGUACUUGCUUCUAGAACUCACUAAAGUGCUCUAUUAGCAAGUAGA
rnacentral:lncRNA from 1 species